rnacentral:rRNA from 1 species
AUUGAACGCUGGCGGCAUGCCUUACACAUGCAAGUCGAACGGCAGCGGGGGAGAAGCUUGCUUUUCCUGCCGGCGAGUGGCGAACGGGUGAGCAAUACAUCGGAACGUGCCCUGUAGCGGGGGAUAACUAGUCGAAAGAUUCGCUAAUACCGCAUACGACCUGAGGGUGAAAGGGGGUGACCGCAAGGCCUCACGCAGCAGGAGCGGCCGAUGUCUGAUUAGCUAGUUGGUGGGGUAAAGGCCCACCAAGGCGACGAUCAGUAGCUGGUCUGAGAGGACGAUCAGCCACACUGGGACUGAGACACGGCCCAGACUCCUACGGGAGGCAGCAGUGGGGAAUUUUGGACAAUGGGGGCAACCCUGAUCCAGCAAUGCCGCGUGUGUGAAGAAGGCCUUCGGGUUGUAAAGCACUUUUGUCCGGAAAGAAAUCGCGCUGGUUAAUACCUGGCGUGGAUGACGGUACCGGAAGAAUAAGCACCGGCUAACUACGUGCCAGCAGCCGCAGUAA